rnacentral:rRNA from 1 species
GACGAACGCUGGCGGCGUGCCUAAUACAUGCAAGUAGAACGCUGAAGGAGGAGCUUGCUUCUCCGGAUGAGUUGCGAACGGGUGAGUAACGCGUAGGUAACCUGCCUGGUAGCGGGGGAUAACUAUUGGAAACGAUAGCUAAUACCGCAUAACAGUAGAUAUCGCAUGAUAUCUGCUUGAAAGGUGCAAUUGCAUCACUACCAGAUGGACCUGCGUUGUAUUAGCUAGUUGGUGAGGUAACGGCUCACCAAGGCGACGAUACAUAGCCGACCUGAGAGGGGGAUCGGCCACACUGGGACUGAGACACGGCCCAGACUCCUACGGGAGGCAGCAGUAGGGAAUCUUCGGCAAUGGACGGAAGUCUGACCGAGCAACGCCGCGUGAGUGAAGAAGGUUUUCGGAUCGUAAAGCUCUGUUGUAAGAGAAGAACGAGUGUGAGAGUGGAAAGUUCACACUGUGACGGUAGCUUACCAGAAAGGGACGGCUAACUACGUG